rnacentral:rRNA from 1 species
GCAAGUCGAGCGGACUGAUGUGGAGCUUGCUCCAUGGAUGUCAGCGGCGGACGGGUGAGUAACACGUGGGUAACCUGCCUGACGGACUGGGAUAACGCUUGGAAACGAGUGCUAAUACCAGAUAGGCUGCUUGGUCGCAUGACCAGGCAGGGAAAGAAGCUAUCGCUUCACUGUCAGAUGGACCCGCGGCGCAUUAGCUAGUUGGUGAGGUAACGGCUCACCAAGGCGACGAUGCGUAGCCGACCUGAGAGGGUGACCGGCCACACUGGGACUGAGACACGGCCCAGACUCCUACGGGAGGCAGCAGUAGGGAAUCUUCCACAAUGGGCGCAAGCCUGAUGGAGCAACGCCGCGUGAGUGAUGAAGGCCUUCGGGUUGUAAAACUCUGUCUUCUGUGAAGAAAUAGCCUGUGAGUGGAAAGCUCAGGCCCUGACGGUAACAGAGGAGGAAGCCACGGCUAACUACGUG